rnacentral:RNase_P_RNA from 1 species
UGAUCGCAGGCAGAAAUGCGUGAGGAAAGUCGGAGCACCACAGAGCAGGGUGCUAGGUAACGCCUAGUGAGAGCAAUCUUAAGGAUAGUGCAACAGAGAGAUACCGCCGUUUUUACGGUAAGGGUGGAAAGGCGAGGUAAGAGCUCACCAGCGCAUAGGUGACUAUGUGGCUAUGUAAACCCCACCUGGUGCAAGGCCAAGUUAGGAAUUAGGAGUGUAGCUCGCACUCCCCAGAUGGUAGGCCGCUUGAAUCUAUUGGUGACAAUAGGUCUAGAAAGAUGAUCAUCUAAUACAGAACUCCGCUUAUAGCUGUGCUUA